rnacentral:rRNA from 1 species
CCUACGGGUGGCAGCAGUGGGGAAUAUUGGGCAAUGGGCGCAAGCCUGACCCAGCAACGCCGCGUGAAGGAAGAAGGCUUUCGGGUUGUAAACUUCUUUUAAUAGGGAAGAGCAGAAGACGGUACCUCUUGAAUCAGCCACGGCUAACUACGUGCCAGCAGCCGCGGUAAUACGUAGGUGGCAAGCGUUGUCCGGAUUUACUGGGUGUAAAGGGCGUGCAGCCGGGAAGACAAGUCAGAUGUGAAAUCCCGCGGCUCAACCGCGGAACUGCAUUUGAAACUGGCAAACUGGAGUGUGUGAGAGGAGAGUGGAAUUCCAGGUGUAGGAGUGAAAGCCGUAGAUAUCGGGAGGAACAUCAGUGGCGAAGGCGACUAGCUGGAACAUAACUGACGCUGAGGAGCGAAAGCGUGGGUAGCAAACAGGAUUAGAUACCCUAGUAGUC